GCCAAACGUAAAAAUCACGUUCUUGGGCAUGGAUUUGUUCUCAGCUUUUUUCCAUUCUUCAGUAUAUUAUUCUGGGACUGAACGAUAUAUUUAAGAGAAAAGUCCAUCAUGGGUUUAUCUUUUUUUCUCGACUACUCCUUCCGUAACAUUACUUAUCUCAAAGGUAAACAAAUCACAAAGGAACUUGAUCCAAUAUUAUCGCAUAAUGCCUUAGGAUUCAAAGAAACGGAAUUGGAUACAGAACUAGGAGAGCGAGAAUAAUUUGUGUAGAAAUGUAUUAGAAUAAUUCCGUCAAGAUCUGAUCUCAAUCUGUGAAAUUACUGAUAAACUUUUACAAUAAUUUUGCAAAUUAAUAAUAAUCAUUCAUUUUUUAUCGUA
rnacentral:lncRNA from 1 species